CGGGGGUAAUGCAGCCUCCCGUUAAGUGGUUCAUCCCAUGCAAGCGCUGC
rnacentral:ncRNA from 1 species